rnacentral:rRNA from 1 species
AGAGUUUGAAUCAUUGGCUCAGAUUGAACGCCNGGCGGCAGGNUUAACACAUGCAAGUCGAGCGGAUGAAGGUAGCUUGCUACCGGAUUCAGCGGCGGACGGGUGAGUAAUGCUUAGGAAUCUGCCUAUUAGUGGGGGACAACGUUCCGAAAGGGGCGCUAAUACCGCNUACGUCCUACGGGAGAAAGCAGGGGACCUUCGGGCCUUGCGCUAAUAGAUGAGCCUAAGUCGGAUUAGCUAGUUGGUAGGGUAAAGGCCUACCAAGGCGACGAUCUGUAGCGGGUCUGAGAGGAUGAUCCGCCACACUGGGACUGAGACACGGCCCAGACUCCUACGGGGGGCAGCAGA